AAACUGGUCAUGCCCACAUUAUCCAAAUCUCAGCAUUUCAAAGAGCUAACUGUUGUUGCCUCCUUUCAGUGUGUGCUUCAAUGAUUGUGCUCACAGCUUUCUUCAGGCAGCUCCUACAAGACAACAGAAGCUUAAAAUGUCUGUAUUUCAGCAUUUGGAUUUUGUGAGCAGAAUAAAGAACAGAACCACAGAAGUGAUGUCGUCUUCACAAGCAAAAGAUGCUCCCAGACCUGCAAGGAUUCUCCAGAACUUUCUAUUUUCAGCAUCCUUCAGUGCCUCCCCAAAUGCAUUAUUCAUGUGUGAGUCACAACAGGAACACCAGGAAAUUCCUUCAGGACUCUGCCAAUCAGCAUCUUCAGUGGAAUGUCAGCAAAUACUCUAUUUCUGCUUACUUCCAGGAAUUCAGUAAAUCUUUUGCUUUAAUUACAGCAAACCAAUCAGAGAAAAUCUUACAGAAACUCCCUGCAAAAAUCCCAGCAAACUAUUAAGCUACAGGGAAAAUCAGUGAUUAGCCUCCUCAUGUCUUUAACCAAUAUUAAUCUAUUCAGCAGAAGCCAUCAGCAAUGAGGAGCAAAACUCCAGGCUGAUUUCUCCUUGUUUUCUCUUUGCCAGCAAGCCCAAUGCUUAUGCUAAUUAAGGCAUUCUUGUUCACCCAAUAAACAAUCUUUGUAGCUUUAUUAUAUAUCAUAUCUUGAGAACAAGUUAAAUUAAAAUCACAUUUAUGAAAAUAUUCAUUUUGUUGCAAAUUGAAACUGCAUAUUGCUUAUUAGAGGUUGUACUGUGGGUUUAGGAAUUAAUAUCGUCUUUGUAAUUUAAUGACCAAUCACUUCCAUCUAUUGCUAGGUAAAAUACAAUGUCAUCCACAUUACCCUGACAAUAUUCUUAGACUCCGAGCUAUUGCACAAGCAAGGCAUUUCCAUUUCCCACACCAUCUAGCUUAUGGCCUCUCUGAAUGAGAUUGGCAAAUUAGUGCCAAUUAGUGCCAAAUUAUGGGUAGUUUUGUGCUAUUGACUUAUAUCUACUGGGAACUGUUUGAGUCUGCCGAGUUAAUUUUGCUUCGAGCCCAUAACAACCAUCGCAGAGAGAAGCCUUUUGUCCCAUCUGUUUGGGCUGAACUUGAUCUCCACUCCCAGAAGUAAAAGGAAGGCAUUGUAUCUCAGUGCACUACCCAGACCCUGUAGAUCAUAAAUUAGAAAAUUCAAGAUGAAGCCAGUGACAUUAAGCAACAACAAAGAGAAAAACAUGUUUCAGAGUUAAAGUUACAGUGCCCAAUUUGUUUGGGCCAUUUGUAGGUCUGUAGUGAGUGAAUAUUAUUCUGAGUUAAGGACUCUUCUAUACAAUAUGUUAACUUCAGCCAAAACAUUUAUAGCGAUCCUAAUCUGUUGUGUUAAUUUUACACACUCAGCUGCUGUUAGAUUUCAUUUGUGAUACAAUGUAAACUUGUCCUGCAUCAGUGAGACUAGUAAACUGUUAGAAUUCUGGAGCACAGAGAAGGGCCACUCGGCCUAUCAAACCCAUACCAGCUCUCUGCAAGAGCGACACAGUCAGCUUCCCUGUCUAUCAGCUGUACCAUUUAAAUGCUUAUGUUCAAAUUCUUAAGCAUUCUCUUUUGAAAAAAUAAAACCAACCUCUCACUUUACUAUUUCAACAAAUUUAACAAUUCCCUCAAAGUUGCUAUUAUUCUGAAAUUGUAGUUUCGUUGGAAAUGCAGUAGAAACUCUGUGUAUGAGUAUCACAGUGAUUUGAUCACUUUACCUAUGCAGUUACAAUGGUAGACAGGGAACUGUUUCAAGGAAAUUAGAGCACCAAACUUAUCUCCUAUUUAACAAUUGAACAAACAGCUAAAAUAGUUUUACCUUUUUUUUAAUCAAAACUUUCAACAAUUUCAAAUGUCACUGUCAGAUCUCCUUUGAUAAGGGAGAAAAAUUUCUCCAGUCUUUCCUUAAUAAAGCCUUCCAUUCCUGCUGACAGAAUGAAAGCCCUGCUUUGGG